CGCGUGAAUGACGAAGUACUUCGGUAUGUAAAGUUCUUUUAUCAAGGAAGAAAAGCAAAUGGCGAACCAUUUGUUUGCCGGUACUUGAUGAAUAAGCCCCGGCUAAUUAUGUGCCAGCAGCCGCGGUAAGACAUAAGGGGCAAGUGUUAUCCGGAAUUAUUGGGCGUAAAGGGUGCGUAGGCGGUCUAGUAAGUCAGUGGUGUAAUGGCAACGCUUAACGUUGUCCGGCUAUUGAAACUGCUAAACUUGAGUUAGAUAGAGGCGAGUGGAAUUCCAUGUGUAGCGGUAAAAUGCGUAAAUAUAUGGAGGAACACCAGAGGCGUAGGCGGCUCGCUGGGUCUUAACUGACGCUGAGGCACGAAAGCGUGGGGAGCAAACAGGAUUAGAUACCCUGGUAGUCCACGCCGUAAACGAUGAGUACUAAGUGUCGGGUUAAACCGGUACUGAAGUUAACACAUUAAGUACUCCGCCUGAGUAGUACGUACGCAAGUAUGAAACUUAAAGGAAUUGACGGGACUCCGCACAAGCGGUGGAUCAUGUUGUUUAAUUCGAAGAUACCCGAAAAACCUUACCAGGUCUUGACAUGUUUUUGCAAAAUGAUAGUAAUAUCGUGGAGGUUACCAGAAACACAGGUGGUGCAUGGUUGUCGUCAGCUCGUGUCGUGAGAUGUUAGGUUAAGUCCUAAAACGAGCGAAACCCUUAUCGUUAGUUGCCAGCACGUUAUGGUGGGGACUUUAACGAGACUGCCAAUGAUAAAUUGGAGGAAGGUGAGGAUCACGUCAAAUCAGCAUGCCCCUUAUGACCUGGGCUACAAACGU
rnacentral:rRNA from 1 species